ACAACGCUCUUCCGAGCUUGUCCUUAAACUCAGUCCUUCAAUAUCAUCAGCUUGUAUGAGCCAGAUUGCUUGCAAACUGUUCUCUAUCCUACUUCUAAUUAAAGCGAGCUUUGAAAUGUGAACCACGACCCCUAGGCAAAUGAUAUUAACAGGUUAUUCCCAACUCUCACAAAGAAUGAGCUUUGCAAACUAAUUUGUGCAGCAAUUAAAUUCAGACCAAGAUAUAAUUUUAUUUUAUUGCUCAGUACUUGCCUGCAUUUUUUUAAAGCCAGUAAUUGCAGGAAGGAGUUAAUUUGAUAAUAUAAAUAAAAAUUGCCCCCAAGGGGCAAUAACCAAUCCAUUUACAUGCAAAAAUGCUCCCCCUCCAAGUCAUCCCAAGGCAAAUAUGAAACAUGAUUUCCAAAAGGCAUUGCCUAUAAUUCUCUUAAUACAGUGACAAGCAUGAGAAUUGUGAAGCAAAUAUUUCAAAUAACCACAUAUGUUCAACCAUAAAUAACUUAUAUUUGGGGGAAUAUAUUGUGUGUUAGACAUCUCAGUUGCUCUGUACAUACACGGAAAAAAUCUACUCCACCAAAAAAAGUUUAGAUUUUAGGUAAGGAAUUGGGCCUCAAUUCAUUCAACUAAUGUUUAGGAAGUACCUCCAAUGUGCUCACAUGUUGCCUCAUAUUUCUUUCAAAUCUUAAGAACCCAAGAAUACAGCCUUGAUAUCAUAAAAGUAAUAAAACGCCAUUUAUUAAGUUUUCUCUUCAUGUGUUCACCGUAUUUCACAUCUUUUCUGAGUCAAUUCUGUUCUGCCCACCUCGUAAGCUUCUAUUCGUAUGUUAAAACCCUCCUAAGCAGAGUCCUUCAUCUAUAUAAUCCCUCCUCUGAAUUACUUCCACACAGUGUAUAGGCUUUUGCUAUUGCACAUGUCACGUUACUUUGUAAUUAUCUCUUUCCAGGGCUAUCCCAACACAGUGAACUCCUUAGAGCCAGAUUUAUUAACACAACACUAGGAAUACCAUCUCUCGAUAUCUCUGAUACCUUAGCCAAGAAUAUAAAAUCUUUUUGCAAACCUUUACACCUAGGGAAGUUACCAAAAUCCUUCUCAGUAUCUCUGUCUAUCCAACAUCAUGGAUAAAGUUAUGAGACGAGGGUAUCUUUGAAAGCAUCUCAGUGACUCAUCUCAUGUUUUGUCCUAUUUCUUCCUCCUCCCACUCCUGCAAUCCCCAGCCUGAGACAGCAGAGGGUGUGCUGGAAAGCAGUCUUGAAACCUCCCCUUCAGAAAUCCAUUUUACAGCAACCCAGGUGCUGAGCCCCGCUCUGCCUGGGAACUGGUUCACUUUUUUCAAGGAUGCCACAUCUGCUCAGAACUUUUUUUCCAGUUAGUGAGUCUUCCUCAAAUAGAGCCUCUGAGGGUUUUGAUCUUAGAACCAAUCAACUUCAGGCUGAAGAUGCAGGGCACUGGCUGAGCUAGCACAGCUGGCUCAAACCCAUGCUUUAUUUGAAGGAAGGAUAAACAAACACCCAAGUUUACAGUGUUGGGUGUUGAGGUCAAAGAAUUCUCUCUGGACCAGGACUAUUUAUCAGACCACAACUGGAACUUGGUGACUGUUCUGUACCCUCAUUAAAGCCGUGUUUUUAAAAAUGACUAGAAGAACAUACAUGUCCAUACAGAAAUCUGUUGCAUUUCUUUACACUAACGAUGAAAU